UGGUUUCAUUUCUUUUGAAUGGAUGUGUCAACCCCAAAAGAAACCUUGUUUGGAUCCGCCACUGCGGAUACAGGUCUAAUAUAUGUUUUAUACAUACAUACAUUUUGCACUUGUGUGAAGGUGAACUCUCCAUAACGUCCAUAACACAUUUUUCCCAAAAAAGAAAGAUGGGUUAAUUUUUCAAUAACACAGUGCGACAUAACCUCACAAUUAAUAAACAUUGUUUAUUCCACUAAUAUUAAGUAUAUUAUUAAAAUAGUGCGUCACCACAUAAGAAUAGUAUAGCUUUAAAUACAUUAUGCUGUAAAAAAAAUUUAUUUAAUAAUAAUUAGAAAACAGAUGGUUUAUUUAAUCAUAGUGACGCCCAGACGCUUUUUCGUGGAAAUGCCCUACUGUUCUAUUUAAUUAGUUUCAACAAAUUAUUACCUGUAUCGAUGAAUGGCAUUAAUUUCGGAAAUGAACAAAAAGUACAACUUAUAGAUUUCACAAAUUCGAUAUCGAGAAACUUGAAAGUGGAUUAAAAUAUUUCAUUGGACUACAUAAUUUUCAAACAUUUUCAUUUGAAGAUAAAGACAAAUAAGAAAAAGUCUAUUGACGAUAUUUCGUAUGAAAUAGUACUGGAAAAGGCAACUCCUCUAUUUCCGUUUGUUUCAUGCGUGGAAAAUUUUGAUUUCUGGCAUAUUAAAUUUCGAUAAAAAUCGUUUGUUCAUAAUCAGAUUCGAUGGAUGGUCUUCGCACUUUUUGCCCUCGCCAGUUGACAAAUUGCGGAAAAAGAUGUAAAAGAAAAUCUUUGAAAACUCUUCUUUUUAUUUUAAAAAAUAAAUCUGAAAAGUUUACUAAACAAAAAACGCAUACAAUCGAAAUCGUAUAUAAAACUCUCAUUUAUUAGUGCCACAAAACCAGAUUUUGAAAUAGUGAAAAUAAUUUCCGAUCUCUAUUUAAGUUUAUUAAGUGAGAAAUUAUUAUUGAAAUAUUCGAUAAAAAAUAUUCUCAGUAUUGGCAUGUUUGAAGAUGUAUUGGAAUGUUUGAGAAUUAUCUAUAAUAAUUGUCGGUGGCAGUGAUGAAAAUAUUUUAGUUCAUAUUGAAAUAGGAGAAUUUUACGUUCACCCACAAUUGUCAUUUUUGACGAUAAUUUAAAAUAAAUUUGUUAUUAUUGUA